rnacentral:rRNA from 1 species
UACGAAGGGGGCUAGCGUUGCUCGGAAUUACUGGGCGUAAAGCGCACGUAGGCGGCUCUUUAAGUCGGGGGUGAAAUCCUGGAGCUCAACUCCAGAACUGCCUUCGAUACUGAAGAGCUUGAGUCCGGGAGAGGUGAGUGGAACUGCGAGUGUAGAGGUGAAAUUCGUAGAUAUUCGCAAGAACACCGGUGGCGAAGGCGGCCAACUGGUCCGGAUCUGACGCUGAGGCGCGAAAGCGUGGGGAGCAAACAGG